UGACGGUACCUGACUAAGAAGCUCCGGCUAAAUACGUGCCAGCAGCCGCGGUAAUACGUAUGGAGCAAGCGUUAUCCGGAUUUACUGGGUGUAAAGGGAGCGUAGACGGAACAGCAAGUCUGAUGUGAAAGGCAGGGGCUCAACUCCUGGACUGCAUUGGAAACUGUUGAUCUUGAGUGCCGGAGAGGUAAGCGGAAUUCCUAGUGUAGCGGUGAAAUGCGUAGAUAUUAGGAGGAACACCAGUGGCGAAGGCGGCUUACUGGACGGUAACUGACGUUGAGGCUCGAAAGCGUGGGGAGCAAACAGGAUUAGAUACCCUG
rnacentral:rRNA from 1 species